rnacentral:rRNA from 1 species
UAGGAUUCCCUUAGUAGCUGCGAGCGAACAGGGAUAAGCCCAGCACCGAAUCUCACGGAUGAUUUCAGACGUUGAGAAAUGUGGUGUUAGGGAGGAUUCAUUAUCUUGUCGUUGUACGGUGCGUCCAAGUCCUUCUUGAACGGGGCCACAGCCCAUAGAGGGUGCCAGGCCCGUAGUGACCACUGUCGAUAACAAGAGAAUCUCUCCUCAGAGUCGGGUUGCUUGAGAGUGCAGCCCUAAGUGGGUGGUAAACUCCAUCUAAGGCUAAAUAUGACCACGAGACCGAUAGCGAACAAGUACCGUGAGGGAAAGUUGAAAAGCACUUUGAAGAGAGAGUUCAAGAGUACGUGAAACCGUUUAGGUGUAAACCUGAGAAGCCCGAAAGAUCGAAUGAAGAAAUUCAUCGCGUUUCAUUGUUAGUUGAGUCUUGUGCUGUGACAAAAUUGUCUUUAUGGCAGUUGUGCACGCAUAAGGCAUCUGAUCUCUCGAUGUACGUGUGCAUUUUUCUUCAUGUAGGACGUCGCGAUCUGUUGAGUGUCGGUCUACGGCCCAUCAGGGAGCCCAGCAAGUGUACUCAAUCUUGUAUUGAUCAUUUGUUGGACCUGUGUGGUGUCCUGGCCGACUUGCUCGACGGUAUGCAGAUGACGUGAAGACGCGGCUUUUAGAGUACGCGUCCGACCCAUGGCAAGCGCGCCUGGUUUUCUGAUAGCAAUCGGACCUAGUGCCGAUUCUGUCGCCAGGUGACUGUUGGCUAUGGUGCUCUCGGACAGUCUUCAAUUGAAACGUCAAUCAGCGACGCUUUAGCUUUGGGUAAUUUCAGGACCCGUCUUGAAACACGGACCAAGGAGUCUAGCAUGUACGCAAGUCAUUGGGACUAGACUAAACCUAAAGGCGUAAUGAAAGUAAAGGUUCGCCUUGCGCGGAUCAAGGGAAGACGAUUGUUCACAGAUUUACUCUGUAUCAGUCUGCAUUCCCGGGGCGUCUCAUUCUCAUUGCGAGAAGAGGCGCACCAAGAGCGUACACGCUGGGACCCGAAAGAUGGUGAACUAUGCCUGGUCAGGACGAAGUCAGGGGAAACCCUGAUGGAGGUCCGUAGCGAUUCUGACGUGCAAAUCGAUCGUCGGAACUGGGUAUAGGGGCGAAAGACUAAUCGAACCAUCUAGUAGCUGGUUCCCUCCGAAGUUUCCCUCAGGAUAGCUGGCGCUCGUUGCGUACGAGUUUCAUCUGGUAAAGCGAAUGAUUAGAGGCAUUGGGGUCGAAACGACCUCAACCUAUUCUCAAACUUUAAAUGGGUGAGAACUCCGGCUUGCUUAUGUGAAGCCGCGAGAUAAACAAUUUUAAAAUGAAUCAGAG